rnacentral:rRNA from 1 species
CCGGUUGAUCCUGCCGGCGACCACCGCUAUUGGAAUUCGAUUAAGACAUGCGAGUCUUAAGGACCUUCGGGUCCUUGGCAUACGGCUCAGUAACACGCGGACAAUCUGCCCUUUGGAGGGGAAUAAUCUCGGGAAACUGAGGAUAAUACCCCAUAGUCCAUGGAUGCUGGAAUGCUUCAUGGGCAAAAGCUCCGGCGCCAAAGGAUGAGUCUGCGGCCUAUCAGGUAGUAGUGGGUGUAACGGACCCACUAGCCAACGACGGGUACGGGCGCUGGGAGACGUCGCCCGGAGAUGGAUUCUGAGACACGAAUCCAGGCCCUACGGGGCGCAGCAGUUACGAAAACUUGGCAAUGCGGGAAACCGCGACCAGGGAAUUCCAAGUGCAUGCACUUUGUGUAUGCUGUUCCAUUGUCUUAAAAACAUAGGAAGUAAGGGCUGGGUAAGACAGGUGCCAGCCGCCGCGGUAAUACCUGCAGCCCGAGUGGUGGCCGAUAUUAUUGAGCCUAAAGCGUCCGUAGCCGGUCUGGUAAAUUCUUGGGUAAAUCGAGCAGCUUAACUGUUCGAAUUCCGAGGAGACUGCCAGACUUGGAACCGGGAGAGGUCAGAGGUACUCCAGGGGUAGGGGCUAAAUCUGGUAUGGUUUCGGCCAUCCAGUUAGCAUUCCUGUAAUCCUUGGGGGACCACCAGUGGCGUACGAAAACGGGGGAUUAACCCGUUAUCGUCCAUAUAAGGCGUCUGACUAGAACGGAUUCGACGGUAAGGGACGAAACCCUGGGGCGCAAUUUUCGAGCCGUAAUCUAUCUCGACUCGAAAGCGCAAACCGGAUUAGAUACCCGGGUAGUCCAGGGCGUAAACGCUGCAGGCUUGGUGUUGGGGACCCCACGAGGGUGCCCAGUGCCGGAGUGAAGAUGUUAAGCCUGCCGCUUGGGGAGUACGUCCGCAAGGAUGAAACUUAAAGGAAUUGGCGGGUGAGCACAGCAACGGGAGGAGCGUGCGGUUCAAUUGGAUUCAACGCCGGAAAACUCACCGGGAGCGACGAUUACAUGAAGGUCAAGCUGAUGACUUUACUUGAUUUUUCGAGAGGUGGUGCAUGGCCGUCGUCAGUUCGUACCGUAAGGCGUUCUGUUAAGUCAGAUAACGAACGAGACCCUCACCCUUAAUUGCCAGUUCAUUCUCCGGAAUGGGCGCACAUUAAGGGGACCGCUGGUGCUAAAUCAGAGGAAGGGGAGGUCAACGGUAGGUCAGUAUGCCCCGAAUC